rnacentral:rRNA from 1 species
UACGUAGGGUGCGAGCGUUAAUCGGAAUUACUGGGCGUAAAGCGUGCGCAGGCGGUUAUUUAAGUCAGGUGUGAAAGCCCUGGGCUUAACCUAGGAAUUGCGCUUGAGACUGGAUAGCUUGGAGUGCGGCAGAGGGAGGUGGAAUUCCACGUGUAGCAGUGAAAUGCGUAGAGAUGUGGAGGAACACCGAUGGCGAAGGCAGCCUCCUGGGCCAGCACUGACGCUCAUGCACGAAAGCAUGGGGAGCGAACAGG